rnacentral:rRNA from 1 species
UACAGAGGUCUCAAGCGUUGUUCGGAUUCAUUGGGCGUAAAGGGUGCGUAGGCGGCGCGGUAAGUCGGGUGUGAAAUCUCGGAGCUUAACUCCGAAACUGCAUUCGAUACUGCCGUGCUUGAGGACUGGAGAGGAGACUGGAAUUUACGGUGUAGCGGUGAAAUGCGUAGAUAUCGUAAGGAAGACCAGUGGCGAAGGCGGGUCUCUGGACAGUUCCUGACACUGAGGCACGAAAGCGUGGGGAUCAAACAGG